ACAUAGCCUCAACUCAGGUGAGACUACCCCCUGAAUUUAAGCAUAUUAAUAAGGGGAGGAAAAGAAACUAAAUAGGAUUCCCCUAGUAGCGGCGAGCGAAAAGGGAAAAGUCCAGCACGUAGAAUCGCAACUGUUAUGGUUGUUGAUUGAUGCCGUGUAUAGGUUCGGCCAUUAUCUCAUAUUAUAAUUAGUAUGUUCAAGUCCUUCUUGAAUGAGGCAAUAUACCCAUAGAGGGUGAUAGGCCCGUAUAACUGCUAUGAUAUAUGAGAGGUUGUUACCUAGGAGUCGUGUUGCUUGAAAGUGCAGCACUAAGCGGGAGGUAAACUCCUUCUAAGACUAAAUAUUACCAUGAGACCGAUAGCGAACAAGUACCGUGAGGGAAAGUUGAAAAGCACUCUGAAUAGAGAGUCAAAAAGUACGUGAAACUGUCUAGGGUUAAGAAAGCAUGAAGUGUCUAAAUAUCUGAAUGGAGAAAUUCAGUAUCAUAUUGUUGUAGUAAUAUUUUAUUAUGAAGCAUAUGGUGUGCACUUUUCUCCUUGUAAGACACUGCGAUCCAUUAGAACCUUGUGUUAAUAACUACCAUGUUGUGAGUUAUUAUAUCUAUCAAUGGGCCUGGCAUGGAGCUUACAUAUUUAAUGUUAGUAACAUAUAUUGUUAAGGUGAUAUAUGAGAAAGCAAUGUAAACUGCUGGUGUCUCGUAUAGAUGUCUGAUGGAUUUUAAUGCGAUUACAAUAUGACAUCUUUGAUGUAACCAGUAAUGGUUUAUUAUAUUGUAUCGUGAUCAGCAGUGUAUUUGUUUAGUAAUCUUCAUGACCCGUCUUGAAACACGGACCAAGAAGUCUAUUUUAUGCGCGAGUCAAUGAGAUAUUUAUAAACCUCAGAGGCGAAAUUAACAUAACUAUUUUGUUUUGGGAUUACAAAUUCUGUAUUAAUAGAGAAUUUCUCCAUCCCUGGGUAUCCAUUAGUCUUGCUUCGUUUUACGACGAUAGUAAGUAGGAUAUACCAUGAGCGCAUAAAAUGUGACCCGAAAGAUGGUGAACUAUGCCUGAUCAGGUUGAAGUCAGGGGAAACCCUGAUGGAAGACCGAAGCAGUUCUGACGUGCAAAUCGAUUGUCAGAAUUGGGCAUAGGGGCGAAAGACCAAUCGAACCAUCUAGUAGCUGGUUCCCUCCGAAGUUUCCCUCAGGAUAGCUGGUGCAUAUACCGUUUCAUUAAACUUAAUAAAUCUUAUCUGGUAAAGCGAAUGAUUAGAGGCAUUAGGUUCGAAACGUUCUUAACCUAUUCUCAAACUAUAAAUGGGUACGAUAUAAGAGUUUCUUGAUUGAACUCUUAUUUCACGCUUAUGGCGUACCAUAUCAAACAUUUAUAAUGUGUUUGUAAUUUGGUUUAGAUUUAUUGUGCCCAGUGGGCCAAGUUUUGGUAAGCAGAACUGGUGCUGUGGGAUGAACCAAUCGUGAUGAUAAGGCGCCCAAAUAAACGACACACCUUAGACACCAUAAAAGAUGUUGAUUGCUGAAGACAGCAGGACGGUGGACAUGGAAGUUGUCAUCCGCUAAGGAGUGUGUAACAACUCACCUGCCGAAGCAAUUAGCUCUGAAAAUUGAUGGCGCUCUAGUCGUUUGCCGAUUCAUCACUGCUAAAACAUAAUUAAUACUCAUUGUUUUAAUGAUGAUGUAUUUUGAAGUUUUAGUAAGUAGGAGGGUCUGAUGGUGUGCGUUGAAGUGCCAACCGUAAGGUGGUAUGGAGCCGUCAUUAGCACAGAUCUUGGUGGUAGUAGCAAAUAUUCUAAUGAGAUCUUGGAUGACUGAAGUGGAGAAGGGUUUCAUGUCAACAGCAGUUGAACAUGAGUUAGUCGGUCCUAAGCUCUAAGGGAAACCUGAACAUAUGAGUAGAUACACAAAAUAGAACAUUUAUAAAUUAAUUUUUAUAUUGAUCGUAAAUUAGUAUCACCCUCAUUUAUGAGCGAAAGGGAAUCCGGUUACAAUUCCGGAACCUGUUGAGUAUACGUUUGCAUUAUGUGACCGCCUACAUUUAUUUGUAGGUUAUCCAUUAUGUAUCUCGGCAACGAGAAGCCAAUAUAAAGAAGCUAUCGGGAUGUAACAAAAGAGUUUUCUUUUCUGUUUUACAGUUGUACGCACCAUGGAAGUCUUUCAUAGAGAGAUAUGGUGUAAUAGGCUGGUAGAGCAUGGCAUUCAGUUGCUGUGUUGUUACAAUCUCCUUAGACCUUGAAAAUUUAUAUUGGGGUCACGCAAACUCUCAACAGACCGUACCGAAUCCGCAGCAGGUCUCCAAGAUUAAAAGUCUCUAGUUGAUAGAUAAAUGUAGUCAAGGGAAGUCGGCAAAACCGAUCCGUAACUUCGGGAUAAGGAUUGGCUCUGAAGACUGGCUAUUUGUUGUUGAUCAAUAUGUCUAUUUAUGUUUUGCAUACUUUAAUUAUUGGUAUUUAUUGGCGAAUUUCGGUUCGUUAAUGGAUGACAAAUAGCAUUAACAGUCAAUUCAGA
rnacentral:rRNA from 1 species